CCAACACAGCUACCAGACAUAAAUGGACAAUGAAAAUUAAGCUUGAAAGCCACCUGAAAAUUCUCCAUCCCACGGCAGGCUUGUUCAGACGGAUGGGUUCUUGAACCUGCAACAACAACCAACAAGAUUCAUCCAUAUACAUGUUGCUGGUGUGCAGACGUGGCAGCAUGAGGGGAUGGUGACAUGGAGCAAUGGGUUUCUUCUUGGUUUGUCUUAGGUUAUCAUCCUUGUGAUCCACCUCUCUCUUCAUAAAGAAAAACGGUCUUUGCUUUCUUGUUUUUAAAA